rnacentral:rRNA from 1 species
GGGAGGAAGGUUGCUGUGUUAAUAGCAGAUAGACUUGACGUUUCCUGCACAAGAAGCACCGGCUAACUCCGUGCCAGCAGCCGCGGUAAUACGGAGGGUGCGAGCGUUAAUCGGAAUUACUGGGCGUAAAGCGCAUGCAGGCGGUUUGUUAAGCAAGAUGUGAAAGCCCCGGGCUCAACCUGGGAACCUCAUUUUGAACUGGCGGGCUACAGUCUUGUAAAGGGGGGUAGAAUUUCAUGUGUAGCGGUGAAAUGCGUAAAGAUCUGAAGGAAUACCGGUGGCGAAGGCGGCCCCCUGGACAAAGACUGACGCUCAGAUGCAAAAGCGUGGGGAGCAAACAGGAUUAAAUACCCUGGUAGUCCACGCUGUAAACGAUGUCUACUUGGAGGUUGUGACCUAUAAUCGUGGCUUUCGGAGCUAACGCGUUAAGUAAACCGCCUGGGGAGUACGGUCGCGAGAUUAAAACUCAAAUGAAUUGACGGA